UUAUUGGAGAGUUUGAUCCUGGCUCAGGACGAACGCUGGCGGCGUGCCUAAUACAUGCAAGUCGAGCGAAUCA
rnacentral:ncRNA from 2 species